AUUGAACGCUGGCGGCAUGCCUUACACAUGCAAGUCGAACGGCAGCACGGGGGCAACCCUGGUGGCGAGUGGCGAACGGGUGAGUAAUGCAUCGGAACGUGCCCAGUAGUGGGGGAUAACUAGUCGAAAGAUUAGCUAAUACCGCAUACGACCUAUGGGUGAAAGCGGGGGAGUUCGCAAGAACCUCGCGCUAUCGGAGCGGCCGAUGUCUGAUUAGCUAGUUGGCGGGGAGUAAAAGACCCACCCAAGGCUUCGAUCAGUAGCUGGUCUGAGAGGACGACCAGCCACACUGGGACUGAGACACGGCCCAGACUCCUACGGGAGGCAGCAGUGGGGAAUUUUGGUACAAUGGGCGCAAGCCUGAUCCAGCCAUGCCGCGUGCGGGAAGAAGGCC
rnacentral:rRNA from 1 species